GAUGAACGCUGGCGGCGUGCUUAACACUUGCAAGUCGGACGGGAUCCCGGGGGUUCGCUUCCGGGUGAGAGUGGCGAACGGGUGAGUAAUGCGUGACCGACCUGCCCCAUACACCGGAAUAGCUCCUGGAAACGGGUGGUAAUGCCGGAUGCUCCGGUUGGAUGCAUGUCCUUCCGGGAAAGAUUCUAUCGGUAUGGGAUGGGGUCGCGUCCUAUCAGCUUGAUGGCGGGGUAACGGCCCACCAUGGCUUCGACGGGUAGCCGGCCUGAGAGGGCGACCGGCCACAUUGGGACUGAGAUACGGCCCAGACUCCUACGGGAGGCAGCAGUGGGGAAUAUUGCACAAUGGGCGCAAGCCUGAUGCAGCGACGCCGCGUGCGGGAUGGAGGCCUUCGGGUUGUAAACCGCUUUUGAUCGGGAGCAAGCCCUUCGGGGUGAGU
rnacentral:rRNA from 1 species